rnacentral:rRNA from 1 species
CUAACAGGAUUCCCUUAGUAACUGCGAGUGAAGAGGGAAAAGCUCAAAUUUAAAAUCUGGCAGUGUUUCAUUGUCCGAGUUGUAACCUAGAGAAGUGUAACCUGUGCUGGACCGUGUAUAAGUCUCCUGGAAUGGAGCAUCACAGAGGGUGAGAAUCCCGUCUUUGACACGGACUACCAGUGCAUUGUGGUUGCGCUCUCAACGAGUCGAGUUGUUUGGGAAUGCAGCUCUAAAUGGGUGGUAAAUUCCAUCUAAAGCUAAAUAUUGGCGAGAGACCGAUAGCGAACAAGUACCGUGAGGGAAAGAUGAAAAGAACUUUGGAAAGAGAGUUAAACAGUAUGUGAAAUUGUUGAAAGGGAAACGUUUGAAGUCAGUCGCGUUGGCCGGGGAUCAGCCUGACAUUGUUGGGUGUACUUCCUGGUUGACGGGCCAACAUCAGUUUUGACUGCCAGAAAAAGGCGAGGGGAAUGUGGCACCUUUGGGUGUGUUAUAGCCCUUGGUCGUAUAUGGCGGUUGGGACUGAGGAAAGCAGCGCGCCGAAAGGCCGGGUUUCGACCACGUUCGCGCUGAGGAUGUUGGCAUAAUGGCUUUAAGCGACCCGUCUGAAAACACGGA